UAGGGAAUCUUCCGCAAUGGGCGAAAGCUUGACGGAGCAACGCCGCGUGAGUGAUGAAGGUCUUCGGAUCGUAAAACUCUGUUAUUAGGGAAGAACAAAUGUGUAAGUAACUAUGCACGUCUUGACGGUACCUAAUCAGAAAGCCACGGCUAACUACGUGCCAGCAGCCGCGGUAAUACGUAGGUGGCAAGCGUUAUCCGGAAUUAUUGGGCGUAAAGCGCGCGUAGGCGGUUUUUUAAGUCUGAUGUGAAAGCCCACGGCGCAACCGUGGAGGGUCAUUGGAAACUGGAAAACUGGAGUGCAGAAGAGGAAAGUGGAAUUCCAUGUGUAGCGGUGAAAUGCGCAGAGAUAUGGAGGAACACCAGUGGCGAAGGCGACUUUCUGGUCUGUAACUGACGCUGAUGUGCGAAAGCGUGGGGAUCAAACAGG
rnacentral:rRNA from 1 species